GCCGGCAGCUAGCUCUCUGCAACUCUCACAUGGUCGCCCACUGAAGCUAAGCAGGGUUGCGCCCGGUCAGUACCUGGAUGGGAGACCACAUGGGAAAGCUAGGUUGUUGCCGGAA
rnacentral:rRNA from 1 species